AAGUCGUAACAAGGUUUCCGUAGGUGAACCUGCGGAAAGGAUCAUUACCGAAUUGUCGACACGAGUUGUUGCUGGCCCUCAAACCGGGGGCAUGUGCACGCUCUGUUUGCAUCCACUCACACCUGUGCACCUCUUGUAGUUCUACGGUUGGGGGAGGCACCCCGCCUUUCCUCCUGGGGUUCUACUUUUUUACACACACACUGUAACAUGGUUUUAUGGAAUGCAUGCAGCGUUUAACGCAAUACAAUACAACUUUCAGCAACGGAUCUCUUGGCUCUCGCAUCGAUGAAGAACGCAGCGAAAUGCGAUAAGUAAUGUGAAUUGCAGAAUUCAGUGAAUCAUCGAAUCUUUGAACGCACCUUGCGCCUUUUGGCUAUUCCGAAGGGCAUGCCUGUUUGAGUAUCGUGAACACCUCAACCCUCAUGGCUUGCCAUGAUGGGCUUGGACUUUGGAGGUUUUGCUGGCCUGUGGUCAGCUCCUCUCAAAUGAAUCAGCUUACCAGCAUGUGGUGGCAUCACGGGUGUGAUAAUUAUCUGCGCCUGUUGUUGCCUGCCAGGUAACCCCCAACCUUGGAGGUUUGCUGGGGCUUAUAAACGUCUCUCCUCGGCAGAGACAGCUUUCUGAAGUUUGAUCUCAAAUCAGGUAGGACUACCCGCUGAACUUAA
rnacentral:rRNA from 1 species